rnacentral:lncRNA from 1 species
CGAGGAAGCCGUGGAGCCCGGGUGGGGAGUGCCGGAGCUUUCUGGUGCCCCCGCGCCUCGUCUCGUCUUGUAUCUCAGAAACUUCUUAUCCGGGCUGAGACUCACCGAAACCACUUCCUAUGCUGACUGCUUUUCUUGGGAUGUAUGCGAGCAACAGUAGAAGGAACAGAUUUCAGAGCCUUUGGUGUUGGUAAAACUUUCAGUGAAUAGCAACAAGUUGAACUUGCUCUACGUCCAAGUGGCAAAUGCAAAGCUAGACUCAGGGUGUAGCAGCUCUGUGUCAGCAGCUCCCUCUCUCCUCCUCUCUGCUGGAGCCACCGAGGCAGGCAGUGGGCAGACCCAGGGCAGUUUCUGAAAGUCCUGCUGUGCCUGACAGAUCUCCGGGUGAGCCAGAGCUUGUCUCCUUCUCCUAUCGCAAGGGUCUGGCUCCCCAAUGCUGAUGCUGAUGCCAGCUUGCUGCAUGCCUUGGCGUUUCCCCAGGGAGAAGUUGAAAAGCCACUUCUGAGCUUGUAUCUUCUCCUGGCAGCAGAAAUUCAGUUGCUAAAAUUCUUUCAACUUUGUGUGUGAUUAUGCCUUCCUCACCUAAUUGUGUAACUAACUUAUGGC